UUGACUGGUACUGAACUACAUUGCUAAAAUCUUUAAGCUUUCUUGAAUUAAAAUGAUAUAUAUAUGUGUAUAUAAUACAUAGAUAAAUAUAUAUCUCACACAUCAACAAGAAAAAUACAACUAAAACAAUUAAAGAAUGAGAAGAAUUACAUGAACAAGCAAAUUAAAGAAAUAUGUAUAAAUGGUAAAUAAACAUAAAAUACGAUCAAUCAACCUCACGAGUAUAAAAACAAUGAUACCUCUCUUAAAUUGGCUAAAUUGGAGGGAUUCUCAACAUUCAGGAUUGACAGGGGCUGGGGAAAUGUGUGUCCUCCUGGACUGUGAGUAAGACUCCUAAUUGGCUCAGUCCUUGGGUUCAUUCAUUCAAUAAAUGUUCUCAGGCCUGGAAACGCAAGGGGAGACGAUAGGGGCCCCGUGUCUGUCCACAUGGCUUCCACAGCUGAUGGAAACAGGGUCAGGCAGACAGUCAGAACACGGAUUCGCUGCAGAGGGUGAAAAAUUCUAAGGAGAAAUCAUGAAAAUAAACCAGAGAAAAAGGAUACCUUUUAGGGGCAAAUUGGCACUACCUAUCACAUUUUAAAAUAUGCAUUUUCCUUUAUGCAGCAGCCUUAGGUUUGAAAAUGUCUGCAGAAGUUUGUGCAUGCGCAGAAGGUGGACCCCGGGAGGCUCCCUGCAGCACCGCUCCUGAGAACGAACACUUGCCAACGACCAUCAGUGUCAUGGAUUGGAGACCAGUUACGUAAAUGAUGAUGCAUCCACGUCACAGAUUCACAUACAUCAGUUCCGUGAAAUGAGGACGGGCUCGGUGGCAGAAAGGCGCCGGGAAGAACUGUGGAAGGAAGGAAGCAAGUUCUGGUGUGGAAAGCGCCACUCCAUCUGCGCCAGGAGGGUCACACUCGUGCAAGGUGAUGUCACAUGGCCGCGGAUGUGGGUGGGGCAGGCUGACGCGGACGCCCCUUGCAGGCAAGCUCCUUCACUCAGAAGCAGGAUGCACUCCCUCAGUCCAUGUCUUGCAGCUCCCGCUGCCCAGUGGAGGAAAAAAAUAUCCCACACAGACAGCUCUGCUUGGAUUUCAGCGCCCUCCCUCCUUCCUCCAGGUCUGCAGAGGCCUGUUACCCGUUCAGCACGGCAGGCACAGUCCCUCCUCCCGCUUCUGUUCCAGCGAAAUGCGCACACAGGCCGAAACAUCCUACACCCCAGAGUCAAAGUUCUUCAUAACAUUUUCCAAAGGACUGAGUGCCUUUUUAUGAAUGCAUGGAGAAAAUACGGUGCGGGUUUAAUAUUGUAUUAUGAGCCUCUGACGAAGGAUUUUUAAAAUAUGCUUUAUGCAUGAAUAUAUAAAAUGGGCAUAUGUUGCAGUAAAGUUUCACUGUUGUACAUAAAGCAUAUUAUAAUAAAAGUUGUAAAGUUAGCCCUUAGUGGAGAAUUGAAGAAAGAAAAAAUGCGAUGCUUCCAGCCAGCGGGGAUGGAAUCGCCCAACACAUUCUUUGUUUUGCCAUAGAAGCUGCUUACUUUGGUGGAAUGUCUCCGGCGAGCCAAGGCUGGCUGGGGAGUAAUGGCGGGGCAGUUAUAUGAUGAAUAAAAGGGUCUGAGACGGGUACCCCCCUGGGCAGCCCAAGCCCCAGCCAAUAGCAGAUGCAAAUUUGCCUCAGAAAUGCACAUGGAUCAAAAUCUUAACACUGCAUUUUGUAGUGCUCUUGGAAUGUCCCUAAAGAAAAAAAAAUGAGAGAUUUCAAAGCAUGAACACUGAUGGCUUUUUUUCCAGGCAGAUUAGCUCGAAAAUUACUGUUGGGGUUAUUUUCAUUGUGCUUAACACUGACGACUGUGUGUUGAGUAUUUAAUUCUCAGGACAGGCCAGGAGUUCCUUAAAGGCAGAGAUUCCUCAUGGGCAUUGCCCCCCCCCGCCACCCCCUGGACCCCACACACACAAUCACACACCAGCUCUUCUUAUGCCCAGAGCAGUAAGCGUUAGCCAGUGAUUAGUUAAAUGCAUUACUGAAUUGAUGUUUUUUUUUUUUAAAGAAAAAACAUCAAUUUUUUUGACCUCAGGUACCUGAGAGAUAUUGCAGGUUUGGUUCUAGAGACAUUCUAGGUUUGGUUUAUUAAGCAAAUAUUGCCAUAAAGCAAGUCACAAGAACUUUUUGGUUUCAUGGCACGGAUAAAAGUUAUGUCUACACUACCCUGCAGUCUAUUAAUUGUGCAAUAACAUUAUGUUAAAACAUAAUGUAAAUAGCUUAAUUAAAAAUACUUUGUGGCUAAAAUACGCUAAUGAUCAUUUGAGCCUUUGGUGCGUUGUCAUCUUUUUGCUGGUGGAUGGUCUUACCUCAAUGCUGAUGGCUGCUGACUGAUGAGGGUGGUGGUUGCUGAAGUUGGGGUGGCUGUGGCAGUUCCUUCCCUCUCUUCCUUUCCUUCCUUCCUUCCUUCCUUCCUUCUCUCUCUCUCUCUCUCUUUCUCUUUCUUUCUUUCUUUCUUUCUUUCUUUCUUUCUUUCUUUCUUCUUUCUUUUCUUUCUUUCUUUCGAGACAGAGGGUUGCUCUUGUUGCCUAGGCUGGAGUGCAAUGGCACUACCUCGGCUCACUGCAACCUCGGCCUCCCAGGUUCAAGUGAUUCUCCUGCCUCAGCCUACUGAGUAGCUGGAAUUACAGGUGCAUGCCAGCACACCCAGCUAAUUUUUGUAUUUUUAGUAGAGAUGGGGUUUCAUCAUAUUGGUCAGGCUGGUCUCGAACUCCCGACCUCAGGUGAUCCUCCCGCCUCAGACUCCCAAAGUGCUGGGAUUACAGGUGUGAGCCACCGCGCCCGGCCAGUAGUUUCUUAAAAUAAGACAACACUGAAGUUUGCUGCGUAGAUGGAUUCUUCCUUUCAUGAAAGAGUUCUCUGUGUUGGGCAAUGCUGUUUGAUAGCAUUUUACCCACAGUGGAACUUCUUUCAAAACUGGAGUCGGUCCUGUCCAUCUCUGUGGCUGUGCUGUCAGCGGGGUUUGUGAAAUAGUCUAAAUCCUUUGCUGUCAUUUCAACAAUCUUUACAUCGUCUUCACCCGGAGUGGAUUCCAUCUCAAGAGACCACUUUCUCUGCUCAUCCAGAAGAAGCAACUUCUCAUUCAUUCAAGGUUUAUCCUGAGACUGCAGCAAUUCAAUCCCUCUUCAGGUUCCACUUCCAAUUCUAGUUCCCUUGCUGUUUCCACCACGUCUGCAGUGCCUUCCUCCACGAAAGUCUUGAAUCCCUUUUUUUUAAAUCUAAUAUUUGCCAUCACCCAUCUCGUCUGCACACGUGUACACACACACGCAUUUGCGGCAGACAGUAUCCAUUCAAUGGAUCAUUCCAACCCUCAAAGUUAUCCCUGAGGGUUGGAAUCAACUUCUUCCAAACUAAUGUUCAUGUUCAUAUUUUGACUUCUGCUUAUGAGUCACAAGUGUUCUCAAUAGCGUCUAGAACGGUGAACCCUUUUCAGAAGGUUUUCAAUGGACUUCGCCCAGAUCCAUCAGAGGAAUCACUGUCUAUGGCAUCUUUACAACAUGUAUUUCUUAGAUAAUAGGGUUUGAAAGUCAAGAUUACUUCUUCAUCUUUGGGCUGCAGAAUGGAUGUUGUGUCAACAGGCAUGAAAACAUUCAUCUCCUUGUACGUCUCCAUCAGAGCUCCUGGGUGGCCGGGCCCAUUGUCCACGAGCAGUAUAGUUUUUUGUUUCUAGGUUUUUGUUUUUGAGACAGAGUCUCACUCUGCUGCCCAGGCUGGAGUGCAGUGUGCAAUCUCAGCUCACUGCAGCCUCCACCUCCUGGGUUCAAGGCAUUCUCCUGCCUCAGCUUCCUGAGUAGCUGGGACUACAGACAUGCAACAGGCUGGUCUCAGAUUCCUGACCUCAGGUGAUCCACUUGCCUUGGCCUCCCAAAGUGUUGAGAUUACAGGCGUGAGCCACCGUGCCCGGUUUGAACAGUAUAGUUUCAAAGGAAUCAUUUUCUGAGCAGUAGUUCUCAACUGUGGGUUUAAAAUAUUCCAUAAACCAUGCUGCAAACAGACAUGCUGUCAUUCUGGCUUUGUUCUUCCGUCCAUAGAGCACAGGAAGAGCAGCUACUGCAUCAUUUUUACGACCUAGGAUUUUUGGAAGGGUAGGUGAACAUCCGCUUCAUCUUAAAGUCACCAGUUGCGUUAGCCCCUAAUAAGAGAUGCUUUGAAGCGAGGCAUGAUUUUUUUCUCUCUUGCUGUGAAAGUCCCAGGUGACCUCUUCUUCCAGGAGGAGGCUGUUUCAUCUGCAAUAAAAAUCUGUUGUUCAGUGGAGUCACCUUCAUCAAGCAUCUUGGCUGGAUCUUCUGGGGAACUUGCUAUAGCUUCUCCAUCAGCACCUGCUGCUUCACCUUGCACUUACGCUCUGGAGAUGGAUUCUUUCCUUAAACCUCACCAACAAACCUCUGGUCGCUUCCAGCUUUUCUUCGAC
ensembl:lncRNA